UACGGGGGGGGCAAGCGUUGUUCGGAAUUACUGGGCGUAAAGGGCUCGUAGGCGGCCAACUAAGUCAGACGUGAAAUCCCUCGGCUUAACCGGGGAACUGCGUCUGAUACUGGAUGGCUUGAGGUUGGGAGAGGGAUGCGGAAUUCCAGGUGUAGCGGUGAAAUGCGUAGAUAUCUGGAGGAACACCGGUGGCGAAGGCGGCGAUCCUGGACCAAUUCUGACGCUGAGGAGCGAAAGCCAGGGAGCAAACGGG
rnacentral:rRNA from 1 species